UUUUCUGCCACCGAAUACAUUAGCAUGGGAUAAUGGAAUAGGACCCUGUCCUCCUAUUUUCAGUUGGUUUGCCGCGAGGACCAGGGUAAUGAUUAAUAGGGAUAGUUGGGGGCAUUAAUAUUUAAUUGUCAGAGGUGAAAUUCUUGGAUUUAUGAAAGAUUAACUUCUGCGAAAGCAUCUGCCAAGGAUGUUUUCAUUAAUCAAGAACGAAAGUUAGGGGAUCGAAGACGAUCAGAUACCGUCGUAGUCUUAACCAUAAACGAUGCCGACCAGCGAUUAGGAGACGUUGAAUACAAAACACCACCAUGCGCAUUGCGGUCGUCUUUGGUGUCGCUCACAAGGCGGCACCGGGGCGGCUUAGCUCGCAUGGCACCGGUGAAUGACUCCCUA
rnacentral:rRNA from 1 species